UACGUAGGUGGCAAGCGUUGUCCGGAAUUAUUGGGCGUAAAGAGCUCGUAGGCGGUUUGUCGCGUCUGCCGUGAAAGUCCGGGGCUCAACUCCGGAUCUGCGGUGGUACGGGCAGACUAGAGUGUGGUAGGGGAGACUGGAAUUCCUGGUGUAGCGGUGAAAUGCGCAGAUAUCAGGAGGAACACCGAUGGCGAAGGCAGGUCUCUGGGCAUUAACUGACGCUGAGGAGCGAAAGCAUGGGGAGCGAACAGG
rnacentral:rRNA from 1 species